AUUGAACGCUGGCGGCAGGCCUAACACAUGCAAGUCGAGCGCGAAAGUUCUUCGGGAUGAGUAGAGCGGCGGACGGGUGAGUAACGCGUAGGAAUCUGUCCGGUAGUGGGGGAUAACGUUCCGAAAGGAACGCUAAUACCGCAUACGCCCCACGGGGGAAAGCGGGGGAUCCUUCGGGACCUCGCGCUAUCGGAGGAGCCUGCGUCGGAUUAGCUAGUUGGUAGGGUAAAGGCCUACCAAGGCGACGAUCCGUAGCUGGUCUGAGAGGAUGAUCAGCCACACCGGAACUGAGACGCGGUACGGACUCCUACGGGAGGCAGCAGUGGGGAAUAUUGCGCAAGGGGGGCAACCCUGACUCAGCCAUGCCGCGUGUGUGAAGAAGGCCUUCGGGUUGUAAAGCACUUUCAGAGGGGAGGAAAGGGCGCUGGCUAAUAUCCAGUGCAGUUGACGCUACCCUCAGAAGAAGCACCGGCUAAUUCCGUGCCAGCAGCCGCGGUAAUAC
rnacentral:rRNA from 1 species